AUUGAACGCUGGCGGCAUGCUUUACACAUGCAAGUCGAACGGUAACAGGGUGCUUGCACCGCUGACGAGUGGCGAACGGGUGAGUAAUGCGUCGGAACGUGCCGAGUAGUGGGGGAUAACGCAGCGAAAGGUGUGCUAAUACCGCAUACGUACUGAGGUAGAAAGUGGGGGACCUUCGGGCCUCACGCUAUUCGAGCGGCCGUCGGCUGAUUAGCUAGUAGGUGAGGUAAAGGCUCACCUAGGCGACGAUCAGUAGCGGGUCUGAGAGGAUGAUCCGCCACACUGGGACUGAGGCACGGCCCAGACUCCUACGGGAGGCAGCAGUGGGGAAUUUUGGACAGUGGGCGAAAGCCUGAUCCAGCCAUGCCGCGUGUCUGAAGAAGGCCUUCGGGUUGUAAAGGACUUUUGUCAGGGAGGAAAUCCCUAGUGCUAAUAACACUGGGGGAUGACAGUACCUGAAGAAUAAGCACCGGCUAACUACGUGCCAGCCGCCGCCGUAA
rnacentral:rRNA from 1 species